GUAGGAGGUGAUUGGAUCGUGGGGGUGGUUGCUUCGUAAAUGGUUUAGCACCUUCUCCUCAGUGCUGUUCUUGUGAUGGUGAGUUUUCAUCGGAUCUGGUUGUGUAAAAGUGUGUAGCACUCCCUGCUCUCUCUUCCUCCUGCUCCAGCCAUGUAAAGUGUUGGCUGCCCCUUUGCCUUUAGUCAUGAUUGUAAGAUUCCAGAGGCCUCCCCAGAAACCAAACAUGUGCUGCCAUGCUUUUUGUGUAGCCUGCAGAAUCGUGAAUCAAUUCAACCUCAUUUCUUUAUAAAUUAUCCAGUCUCCUUUAUAGCAGUGUGAGAACUGAUAAAUACAGGGUCCUUCUAUAAUAAGAGAAUGAGAAGCAUUAGACAAGCAAUCACAUCAAUAAAUAGCUGUUAACAGAAACAGGCUAUGGAGGAACAUUCCAAGUGUUAUUAAGAUGCACAACACUGAGACAUAUCCUGAUUGAGUGCUCAAGGAAGACCACCUUAAUGUAUUAUUAUGAAUAUUAGUUAACCUGGGGUUGGGAAUAGAUUUGGAGGAAUGGAGCAUGUUGAAAUCUCCAAAGAAGAAACAGAGAUGUUCUGUUAGAUGGAUGUAAAGAAGGCCAGCUUUGAAUGCCAAGAAAAUCCAGGAAGGAGGACAGGUUGGAAACAACUGAAGAAUCAGGGAGAAGCAGCAGACUGCUGGAAGCUUACAAGACCUGCUAAGGAUUUUUACCAUCAUUCUAAGCAUGACAUGAACCCAGUGAAAUGUCUGGAGCAGAGAAAUAAUGCAACUAGAUUUGCAUAAAAAUUUUAAAAAAUCAUUCUGCAUGAAGUGUGAAGAAGGCAUCAGGAAAGGUUAGAGUGGGUGUGGAAAGCCCAGAGGGAUUCAACAGGAGUCCAGGGAGAGAUGAGAGCAGAAGGAAUGGAGAGGGGUGGAGAGACCCAGAGGAAAAAGGACUGUAAAAUUCAUUGCAUUUAUUGGAGUAGUAGAGAGGUAUAAGGGACAAAGGGGCUUGAAGUGAAGCCAAUCACUUAUGUCCCUAACACACCCCUUCUCCCAUUCCUGGGUUGGAGAUUCUCAGAAUCCGGGCAUGCUUGGGGAAAGUGUUGUAAAAACAAAUUGAACAUCAAUAACUCCAUUGAUAAUCAGUAACAUCAAUUUCUUGGACAGGAACAUGACUGCUGCUGCGUCCCCCUUUCAGCUGUCAGGCUUAUUCCUCUUGGUUAAGCACAAUGUGCAAGUUGCCGCUCUGAUCUGGGACCAGGACCCUGACUCCAUGCCUUCCUCUCCUAGGCCAUACAGCUUUCUGUCUCCUGAAGACUGAAGAAUAAUCACUUCACUGAAAGUUACCAGCUCGAUGCACAGAGAGUUGACCGGACAUCGAGAACAACCACCACCAUCAGCCAAAGUAAAAUGCCAUAAGCCACUUUUUAUUUCUGAGAAAUCUUUUAGGCAAAGUGUGAGGCAUUUUUCUCCUGAAUUAGAGAAAGAGUUACCUCUAAAUUAUUAGUUUCACUUAAUUAUAUAUUUUUGGCUUAGUAAUAAAACUAAGGAAAUUACUUGCUCUUUUAGUAGUGGUGUUAAUAAAACCUUUGCACCUUUGCAGGGCUAAAUCUUUUUCACUAUGUGAUAUCAAGGCAUAUAAGUCUUAAUCCUGGGGUUUGAAGUAAAAACAUAAUAUAUCUUUAGUCUAUGUUUUUUUUUUUUUUUUACCCCCAGCUUUGGUGAGAUAUGGUUAGUAUAUAACAACCGCACAUCAUUAAUGUAUACAAUCUGGCCAGUCUGGACCUAUGUAUACACUUCUGUCACUGUCGCCACAACCAGGCAAUACACAUACUUAUUGCCUCUAA